rnacentral:rRNA from 1 species
UACGAACUGUGCGAACGUUUAUUCGGAAUCACUGGGCUUACAGGGUGCGUAGGCGGCUAUUCAGGUCAGGUGUGAAAGCCCUCGGCUCAACCGAGGAACUGCGCUUGGAAACCGGAUGGCUCGAGUCAACUAGAGGUGCACGGAACUUCCAGUGGAGCGGUGAAAUGUGUUGAUAUUGGAAGGAACACCGGAGGCGAAAGCGGUGCACUGGGGGUUGGUCUGACGCUGAGGCACGAAAGCCAGGGGAGCGAACGGG